GAUGAACGCUGGCGGCGUGCCUAAUACAUGCAAGUCGAGCGAACAGACGAGGAGCUUGCUCCUCUGACGUUAGCGGCGGACGGGUGAGUAACACGUGGAUAACCUACCUAUAAUACUGGGCUAACUUCGGGAAACCGGAUCUACUUCCGUAUAUUUCUUUGAACCGCAUGUUUCAUCAUUGAAAGACGGUUUUGCUGUACCUUCUAGAUGGAUCAGCGCCCCAUUAUCUAGUUGGUAAGGUACCGGCUUUCCAACGCAACGAUGGGUAGCCGACCUGGGAGGGUGAUCAGCCACACUGGAACUGAGACACGGUCCAGGCUCCUACGGGAGGCAGCAGUAGGGAAUCGGCCGCAAUAGACGAAAGCCUAACAGAGCAACGCCGCGUGAGUGAUGAAGGUCUUCGGAUCGUAAAACUCUGUUAUUAGGGAAGAACAAAUAUGUAAGUAACUAUGCACGUCUUGACGGUACCUAAACAGAAAGCAACGGCUAACUACGUG
rnacentral:rRNA from 1 species